UCAUGUUCUAUAUCUUGCACAACAUCAGGGAAGUUGAGGAAGUGUGGAUGAGGUAAUACCACUACACCAUUCCUUUAUGUCUUCCACAUCAUCAUGUUUUAUGUUCACUUAGUCCCGGUUUAACACCGGUUUUCUUUUUUUUUUAGUGAUUUCGUUCAAGAGGAAUGGACGGGAAUGAAUCCUCCUACUGAGGCGGAGGCACUUACUCUUCUCCGUCAUGGAAACCCUGGACGUAAAAAUUUUGUUGCUUGGUUCAUGGAGAAAGUAAUUGUCCACACUCCCCUAUUAAAUACCUAGUUCAACAUUUAUUAGUUAACUAAUGCACGCAACAAUUUCAAUUAUACUUGUAGGGAAAAGAUCCGAACAUAUCUAUGGAUGAUGAAUUGAGAUGGGUUUCCAUGGGUUUUGACCCUGCCGUCAUGACAUGUAAAAAGUAUGAUGUGAAUGGGUAUCGCUUCCAUACAGAGGAUCACCAGAACAGCCGGCCUGAUCCCAUAACUAUAAAUACCGGAGUGUACACCCCCGGUCAAAAUUCAGUAGACUACUACGGAAGGGUACAAAAUAUAUACGAGAUUAAAUUCCACCAGGGGCGCGAGACCCUAAGUCUGCCUGUGUUCAAAUGUCGAUGGUUCGAUCCACGGGAGGGGGUAAAACAUACGCCUUCCAUUGGUUUGGUCGAAGUUAAACCAUCAACCGUCUAUGCCGGAGCCGAUCUCUUCAUUGCGGCUACCCAAGCUACACAAGUAUAUUAUCUGCCUUACCCAUGCCAGAAAGAGUACCUAAAGGGUUGGGAAGUUGUGUUCAAGGUGUCGCCACAUGGUAAGCUACCGAACCCGAAUGAAGACGAUUACUACAACAUUAACCCCAUGACAUACGAGGGAGUGUUCUAUCAAGAGCAACCUGAUGAUGAUGAUGUGGUUAGAAACGAUGACGCUAGACCAUUGGGUGAUGAUGAUGUGGAUCCAAACGACGACGAAGCACGGAAUGAUGGUGAGACCAUUGUCAAUGAAAAUGACAUACUUAUGCUAGAAAAGUUAAACUUAGACGCUGACGACGAGGAAGAGCCUCCACCUCCGUCAGACAACGAAGAUGAUAUGAUUGAUAGUGAUGAUGAGACGGACCGAGAAAGAGGUUACAACAGUGAUGAUUCAUAUGGUUUCUAGCAGAUGUACGUGUCAAGUCUUUUUUCUAUAGUUUAGGAAUAUGCCUUUUAUGCCUUUUUAUUAAUGUGUUUAUUUUCAUGCCUUUUCCUUCAUUUCAUUAAUUUACUAAUUGCUUAUUCUCUUUUCAAUGCAGGUUCGUGGAACAUGAGCAAGGGGAAGGCCGACGGCGUGGGUUUCCUACGCAAGGUCGUUGGCCUGCCUAGUCGGAGUGGUCGAGCACGUAAUCCUCCCCCCCCGGCUACUUGACGAUGACUCCUCACAGGGAGGUCGAGGGAGAGGUGCCCCUAGAGGAGGAGGGGGCGGGGGGAGAGCCCCUAGAGGGCGAGGUGGGGGGAGAGCCACUACAGGGGGUCGCGGCCAGAAAGAGCGCACCCUCACCGACUUAGGGGUGUUGUCUUCGAGGCCAUCCUCUAGUGAGGUACCCUCCUCUAGUGAGGUACCCUCCUCUGGUGAGGAGGAGGAGGAGGAGGAGGAUGAGGCAGGCGAGGAGGAGGAGGUUCAGGAUGGGGCCGAGGAGNNNNNNNNNNNNNNNNNNNNNNNNNNNNNNNNNNNNNNNNNNNNNNNNNNNNNNNNNNNNNNNNNNNNNNNNNNNNNNNNNNNNNNNNNNNNNNNNNNNNNNNNNNNNNNNNNNNNNNNNNNNNNNNNNNNNNNNNNNNNNNNNNNNNNNNNNNNNNNNNNNNNNNNNNNNNNNNNNNNNNNNNNNNNNNNNNNNNNNNNNNNGAGGAGGAGGAGGAGGAUGAGGAGGAGGUUGGGGAGGGGAAGGCAGGCGAGGAGGAGGGUGGUGGCGGGGAUGAUGGUGCUGGCGGGGAGGGGGUUGACAACAAGGGGUGGCUACGUGGUAACGCAAAGCUACCAAAGCAGGUUCCUGCUACUGAGGAGCAAAAGUGGCUCAUUGAGCCCACGGGGAAAGAGUAAGUGCCACUUUAUAAUAAUUUCAUUAUUUUGCUUGUCACAUGCUCAUUCCGGUUGUUAUUUAUUUUGCUUGUCACAUGCUAAUAGUUCAUUUUUUUGCAGCAACUGGAUAUAUUCUAAAGGGGUCCGUAUUCCCAACGGCCUCAUCACCGUCCUGCUGAAGUUACACUGGCCGGGGUUGCACUGUCCGGAUCCAGUCAGGCACCCGGACCAUCGGGUCUUGGCCACGAGCUGGGAGCACUAGGAAGCGGCCCUCCACGCGAAGCAUGGGACCCAUGCCAAGGCCGUGAUCACCACUUUCUGGGUGAGUUCUCUUCAGAAGCACAAGUCCAUUCUAGUUUCAUGAAUGAUUUAACUCAUGGCUUCUUCCAUUCUUGUUUCGUGCAUGAUUGUAGAAAUUCUAUCGAGUUCUCCCGGAGCACAGGGGCAGAGCGGACCAGAUCGUGCUACGCCAAUGCAAGAAGAAGGCCCGCCAGAUGCAGUACGAGGUGCGCUAUGUGGCCAUCUCGACAUACUACCACGACUAUCUUGGUGUGAAGAUGACCAAGGAAGAAGCGCGGAGGAUGGGCAUUACCUUGGAGAGGGACGAGUUCUUGGCGGUAAGUAUAAAAGAUUUUUCAUUAUGCUUUCAUUACCUUGUGGUACAUUUCACCGUUUCGUGUUGAUAUGCCAUUAUGCUUUUAUUAUGUAGGUGUGUCCAAAUUGGUGUUAUGGAAAAGACGAGUCCUGGGCGGCAUUGGUGGAUCUUUGGUGUGAUGCGGCUGGAGCCUGGGCGGCUAUGAGAGUCAAAAACAAGGCUAACCGAGGGAAGGAGGGAGUACAUGCUCAGGGAAACCGAAACCACUAUCUCCACAAGGCAGUUAAUGUAUGACUAGCUAACCCCAUUAAACAUUCUUCUUCUUCUAUUUACCAUCACUUUCUUAUGUAUGACUAACCUCUGUUUGGUGGUGCAGGAGGAGAAACUGAAGCGGCCUCUCUCACACAUGCAGGCGUGGGAGAUCGCCCAUACGCGGAAGGACCCCAAGCCUGGCGAGCCCAAGUACUACGGCAAGAAGACCGCGGGGAGGAAGAAGGCCUACUCCGAAGGGUAUCUGGCGUUACAUCCUGACACACCUGACCCCAUUGCGGCGGAUCUGGACGAAAGGGUGGUGGUGGGCAUGGGGCCGAAGGAGCACGGUCGGGAGGCGGUUCUCGAUGCUAUGAUCACUCCGUCUAUCUCCUACACACAGCUCCGUCGGAUCGACCCGACCCUGAGCCAGCGCACGAGCACGCGCAUGAGCAGUGCACCGUCACUGUCCCUCUUUCAGGAGCAGCAAACUGUAAGUAUUUUCCCUUUUAUCUUCAUUGUUCCCUUUAUUUUCCGCAUUUAGUAGUUUUAUGAGUCUCAUCAUGUCAUAUUGUAGGCCUACAUGGAGUACACACGCCAGGAGACCACGGCGUGGCACGACCGCCUUCAUGCAUACCAUCAGCAGAGGGAUCGCGAGAUGCAGCACGCUUUUCAGGAAAUGGCGGCCGGCAGGUGUCCUCAAUGGCCAUCAGCAGAGGGUCCUCCAGCACAACCAGUGCUGCUGACCUUUGAGGAGUUUGUGGCACAGAACGCUGGCCCCUCGCCGGUUAGUUCAUCCCCAAUCAAUUCACCCAAAGCAUGUCAUGCCUUUCAACACAGUCUUAUAUCCCGUUCAUAUAUCUUUUCAACAUCUAGGGAACAGGUGCAUCUACCGUUGGCGGUGGUCUUCGCAACACUCCCGAGACACGGAGCCCGACCACUCCGAUCCACGGAGACGGAGGCGGAGGCGGACGUGGAGGCGGUCUUGGCGGUAGCGCUGCCGCUAGCAGUGACGACCUGGGCUUCGGCGGUCUUGGCGGUGACGACCUCCGCGGUGCUCGACGUCCUGGCGCUUAAGCCUUUCUCGAUGCUAUGAUACUUGUAUGCUUGUUCUCGAUGCUAUGAUACUUGUAUGCUUGUGAUGAUACUUAUCUUAUUGUUGUUUGUGAGAUUCUUAUAUGCUUUGUGGUGAUGAUACUUAUAUGUGUGAUGCUUUGCGAUGCUUCUUAGCGAUGCCAAUUUGUUGUGUGAUGCUGUGUAUAUGCUGUUUGUUAUAUAUGUUGUUUGUUAUAUAUUCAAAUGAAUUGAGCUGAAAAGAAACAGAAAAAAGAAAAAAAAACUGGACAGAAUCUAUGCCGACGGCCAGGCCGUCGGCAUAGGCCUGGCGUGAGCUCCCAGUGGCCGACACGUGGCAGGUCUAUGCCGACGGCCUAGCCGUCGACUUAGUUUGGCCGUCGGCAUAGGCCUGGCGUGAGCUCCCAGUGGCCGACACGUGGCACGUCUAUGCCGACGGCCUAGCCGUCGGCUUAGUUUGAAAUUAUGCCAAAGGCUAGGCCAUCGGCAUAGACCUGCCCCAGGAGCGCCCAGUUUCUGACACNNNNNNNNNNNNNNNNNNNNNNNNNNNNNNNNNNNNNNNNNNNNNNNNNNNNNNNNNNNNNNNNNNNNNNNNNNNNNNNNNNNNNNNNNNNNNNNNNNNNNNNNNNNNNNNNNNNNNNNNNNNNNNNNNNNNNNNNNNNNNNNNNNNNNNNNNNNNNNNNNNNNNNNNNNNNNNNNNNNNNNNNNNNNNNNNNNNNNNNNNNNNNNNNNNNNNNNNNNNNNNNNNNNNNNNNNNNNNNNNNNNNNNNNNNNNNNNNNNNNNNNNNNNNNNNNNNNNNNNNNNNNNNNNNNNNNNNNNNNNNNNNNNNNNNNNNNNNNNNNNNNNNNNNNNNNNNNNNNNNNNNNNNNNNNNNNNNNNNNNNNNNNNNNNNNNNUAGCCGUCGGCAUAAUUUCAAACUAAGCCGACGGCUAGGCCGUCGGCAUAGACACGCCCAUGCUGAAUGGCGUCUCGCCACGUGGCGAGAAGCCAUUGGGCAGCACUUGACGGCGGCCGCCGUUAGGCGAUGACGUUGCUGACGGCUAGGGCCGUCGGCAUAGAUGUACGGCCACCGUCGGCAUAGGGUCUAUGCCGAUGGCUUUUCUAUGCCGACGGUCAUCCUGGCUACGCCGACGGAUAUUUUGCCGACGGCCCUAUGCCGACGGGGGCCGUCGGCAUAGGCCUGACCCGACGGCUAGUCAUGGCUAUGCCGACGGCCCUGGCCGUCGACAUAGGGUGCGAUUCCGGUAGUGCUCCAUGGACGGCGGCAAGACGCCACCUCUGCUGCUUGCGGUUGCGGCCCAGCUGGCCAAGAAGGCGAUAGCCGCUUCUCCGUUCUCGGAUGCACACCGGCUGGCCAGCGCUUGGGCGUUCCUCACCGCCUGGUUCUUCCCCGUCUCCAUCGCCUUGGGCUACCUCGUCCCCAGUCGAUCGACCAUGCGCCAACUUCGUCUUCGUCUUCCUGCAGCUGCAGUGGUGCCAUUUUCUGGAGCGCGAGUGGGACCGGCCCAUAGACAGCGUCCUCUGGGUCGGCCUGUGGUGCUGCCCCGCACUCCAGGCGGCCGUGGCGGCGCUCGCUCUGCUGCUCCCGUUCCGCCACCGCCGGAUCCGCCGUGCCCUUGCCUACCUCGCGGUCUCGGUCGCCAUCGUCGGCCAUUCUUUGAUGGCCAGCCUCGUCCCCCUCGCUGUCGCUGCCUACCCAGGGCUAGGGCUAGGAUACCUCCUGCUCAUCGUCUUGUUCGUCUGCGCCGCGGCGGCGCUGGCACAGCUGCUCCCGUGCCUCCCCCUCCGGAUCCGCUCCCGUGCCUCCCCCUCCGGAUCCGCCGUGCCCUCGCCUACCUCGCGGUCGCCAUCGUCGGCCUCUGUAUUUUGGCCAGCUUGGCCCUCGCCGCCGACACACCAUUCCUCAUCGUCUUGAUCGUCUACUCGGCGGGCAUGUUCACCCUCGCGGUGGGCGACCUCCUCAGCUUCCUGGCCCUCCUCCUGGGAGGUGAGGAGGAGUAGCUGCUGAUCGGCCAGUCGCAAGCUCCGUAUAUCUCCAUGGAUCAGCUCAUGAGGUACUCACGUACGUGACCGCUGAUGAGUAGUUGUGAGGACUGAGGUACUAAUUUGCUGGGGUCUAACCCUAGCUAGCUCGAACUAGUUUUCAGAGACGGAGGUAGACGAAGCAAGGAACGGAGAUAGAUUGUUUUUCUGGCAACAAACCACGGCGCCGAACGCCCUUUUUCUCUGUUAUAUAUAUAGCUGGCCAAACCAGAUCGUAUCUGGACUCCUAACCAUCUACGCAUAACAACCUGGACUAACAAACCAAAUCACGGCCGGCUUUGUAGCACACGGGACGCAGCGCCCAAGCUUCCUUUCGUACGCACGCACGUACGAGCGCCCAGGGACACUGCUCGCCUACGCCGUCCUCUACUACGCGUUCUGACGCGUCCAGCCGCGACUGCUGCUAACUGACUACGACUCGAUCAUGAGCACAGACUCGACACGCACCCAACGCACGCACACACGCACGCUCGCCACGGCUUCAGGCAUGACCAGCACGCACGCACACACUGGUCACCACCACCGCCGUGUCUUAUUCCUAACAUAAUUAAUAUUGUAGUAUUGGACCUUAAUUUGAUGCCUAAUUAGCCUGUUAUUUGUGUAAUGCUGAACUAUCCUGAAUUGUGCUCGUCUGAUCGAAAUAUGGUAUUAAUUGAGAGUAGUAUUGACGAACAAGCUAUAUAUGGGGUCUUAAUUUGAUGUAGUAUUGGACCUUUUCCCUGUAUGCAUGCCUAGCUUCAGUAUAAUCGAUGUUGGUGAAAUCGUUACCGCAGUUUAUAUGUAUGCAUGUAUGCAACCAUUCAUGUUGUAUUUGCUGUUGAGCAUUUCAUUAUGGCCACCAUUCAUGCCUAGCUUGGUGUAUCGAUGUCCAUCGGGGGAUGAGUUGAGGUCCUCCUUAAUUUUGUUGUCUCGUUCAUUCGGAAGCCAAAAUCGCCAUCAUCUGCUUAUGGUCAACGGACCCACGCGCUGGGCACUUGUAUGAGCGCUCGAGCAAGCUGCUCCCAUGCCCUGUUUUUGUAGGGAAAGACCUUCGUAUGGCUAGCUUUAUCAACUUCAAAUUAUAGUUACAUCAUCCACUAAAAAAAUCUGACUAUGGGGCUAUUCUAUUGCAUCCCAAUUUCCGGGCUAGGAGCUGCAAGCAUUCUCGGAGAGCUGCAACCUCUGCUGAGUCGACAUGAGCAACCUGCUCGAGUCUUGCCAUCGAUGCACCUAACAAAUCACCUCUAUGAUCUCUAACAAUAGCUCCACAACCACCUGAAAAAAGUGCAUCCCAAAAAGCUGCAUCGACAUUCAGAAUUUGGUGAUCAGGGCCGGGGGUGGCUUCUUCCACUUGUUCAGAUGUGGGAUGGGCUUCAUGUUUAGCAGCUCUCAUUCUUAUUCUCCACCGAUGACCGUUGAACACCAACGCUUCAGUUGGUUGCCUUGGUUGAUGUUGGUUAGCCGACUUGUUUGACACAACUAUUGCGUAUCUAAUUCUGAACUGCAUUUCAUAUUCAGUAACUGAUCGAUGAGCAUACAGAAAGGUACUGUGAUUAAACUGAUGCUCUGCGUUUGUGGGCCUUCGGCCACUGAUAAGUUGCCACAUCUGCCGUUGGCUUCAUCUGGACCGUUCAAAAGACCCAAAAAACUGAACAGAGGCAGUAAAGGUCCGUGUGCCAGGCGUGGAUAGCUACAAAUGUUCAAGUAGAAGUGCGGAGAGCUUAGUUGACUUAAGAGUAAAUUUUCAGAUAACAAAACCUGUUCUGUUCGUUCCGGAAUGUCUCGGGGGACUUUCACAAUGUUGAUGCAUGUACAGUUUGUCAUUCCAGGUUACCAGUCCUCCCUAGCUAGUUCAGUCAGAUGAACUAAAAUUUCGGCAGUGAUGUAGCUUUUGAAAUUUUAGUUCAACUGGUUGAACUAAAAAAAGGGUCAGAUGGAAUUUGCAGACCCCCCACAGUUUGCCACUACUUACCAUGAAAGCGUGUCAAUCGAUCUUCAUACCGACUUUCAGAAACUAAUUAACUGGAAACACAUCUUCAUGUCGACAGCCUACUUAUAGCCUUGUACUUCAGAACACAUCUCUUGCCUUCUUGCAGUGUCCUCUCUUGCCUUCUUGCAGUGUCCUGCAGAUCGACUGCCUUGUAUGUACUCCUUCUGAAGGAACUUCCUACCAAAUCAAGGUCCAAAUGCACAAGUGUUGUAUGCAACAACAUAUUUUCAUUACCAAGGCACAAAAACAAUGUACGAUAAGGUAAAACAAAAUAGGCAUUCGAGUUCGAUGCACGCCAGGAAAACCCACUAGUUGUACUACCACUUGUAAUAAUAAUACGACCUAUGGGACGAAAAACCUGGCGCGACAUCGAUCGUUCAACCUAAGUUCAGAAAAUACAGAGCAUGCAGUGAUCUAUGUUACAGUAUUUUACAUCCCAGGGAGUAGCAACAAACGAGAGGAGACACGUCUCAGCAGCGCUAGAACUGACACUGUCGUCACGUUGAAGGCGGCAGACGCUGAGAUGGCCCUGCCUCGUCUUCCGAUGUCUGGUUUUGCCUCCGAGCUAGCAUUCGUCCUAUGCUCACUAUAGCUAGAGGUAGACCAUUGCACCUUGCCAAUAUGUCCUUUGAGACAUUCAGCAGGUCGGCCGGACAUUUCCCUGACUCAAACACUGUCUUGAAGAAUAGCUUCUCUGAGUCACCCUCCUGUAACCGCUUCAUUUCAUAGACAGGAUCAUUGGGAGAGGUGCAGCAAUUCUUGGCUACCUCAUGACUGCGUGUAGUAAUUAUUAUGCUGCCCUUAUUAUUAUCACGAGGAAUAGCUACAUUUAGCUGAUCCCAUGCAGCUGCUCGCCAGACGUCAUCCAGAACGAUCAAGUACCUAAAAAAAUGACACACGUUCUUAUGAGUAGGCUAGUAACAAAAAUCGAACAGGGACAGGUAAUCCAUGUUAGGACAUGCAAGUGGGAGUUGUGUACUGGCUUGUUACUUGUGACUUGAUUUCAUGCAGUCAUGCCUAUAGUAAUAAAUUUGGUCCAAAACUGAGGUUGUAAUCACCAUAACAUACCUAUCAAUCCAUCAUACAUUACAAAUUCUCGAUAAAGAAAAUCAUCUAACUCUAAUUCAAUAAACUUCUGUUAUUGUUAAACCUUAACCAUAAAGAUCUUCAUCAUCUUUUUUUUAAAGCAAUAAGAUCUUCACCAUCUAGCAAAAGUGAAAGCACAAAAAAGAAAGUUAUCUGCCCUUAUAGGAGNNNNNNNNNNNNNNNNNNNNNNNNNNNNNNNNNNNNNNNNNNNNNNNNNNNNNNNNNNNNNNNNNNNNNNNNNNNNNNNNNNNNNNNNNNNNNNNNNNNNNNNNNNNNNNNNNNNNNNNNNNNNNNNNNNNNNNNNNNNNNNNNNNNNNNNNNNNNNNNNNNNNNNNNNNNNNNNNNNNNNNNNNNNNNNNNNNNNNNNNNNNNNNNNNNNNNNNNNNNNNNNNNNNNNNNNCAGGGAGGGGUUAAUAUGAAAUCAUAGAGAACAUUAGUCCGUGUACCACGUCCGUAACUUAGUUUCCGCUAGUCUAACAUUCCAGGGGAGAGAGACAGGAAAUGGGGUCCUUUUCUCGUUCACUUGACAGUAGGGCUGGCAGAAAACAUCUCGGAGGUGCAAAUAUGUAAAUAAUGCUAAUGAGCUUCAACUUCUGCGAACAGAAAUGAAUUUAUAGGUUCUCAUAAUCGGCAAUGCAGAUAGGUAGAAAAUUGUAAAUCUCCCCCUUUAUACAUAAACUUGGCCAAAUUUGAAGAAGUAUCACUUGAAGAAAAAACUACAAGAGCAACUAGCAGAUUUCCCACACCCUCUCCCUUUAAAGAAGUGCCAAUGUAGAGGCCGAGAGUCCAAAAAUGCUGUCCAAAAACAACCAUUGUGACGCCACUAAAGUUUCAACUCUGAAGUGCUUCUCUUAAAUUCCCUAAUUGGUAUUUUGAUAAUUUGACACACCCAUUGAGGGACUAAUGUUUAUAUUGAGUUUAUUUCAGAUUUAGUCCCUUGGCUAUAACUCGAACAUCAAUGGUCACCUGUUGCCAAUCUCAAGCUUUUAGAAUGUACUUAAAAUGUUUUUGGUGAAUCCAAGAUUCAAACUGAGUGCAGGACAACCGUACUAUGAAGAGGGCCACAAGCAAAGAUACUUUGGUAUGGAACUUCAUGAAAUAUCCUAAACCCAAAAUCCACAAAAAAAUCACUCUACCAACCUCAUUCUUCAGUAUCUCUAAACCCCGGUACAUUCAAAGAUUUUUCCUCAAGUACUAACAAGCACUUAGGGUGGUUGUCUUCGUAGAGUUCAAACCCAGCUUCUCAUUGCGGACGGCCGCACAUUUUUGUUCAGGUGCUACCGAGCCUAUCUGUUUGAGACAUCCCUUUGUUAGCUCUGGUACCUCCAAGCAAAACAUUUUACCCGGCAGUUCCAAGCCCUUCUCAGUUUGCUCCUUUAUUUGAUCCUGAUAUAGGUCCUGAUACCAACGUGGUUUUCCGUCCGGUACUUUUGAGCUGUGACUUAGGCCUUUUCCGCACAUUUCCCAUUUGAGAGUUGCUCUGUCUACUACGGCACUUCCAAACAAUUGAAUUUACCAUUACUUCCGAGCCAGUUCAAAUCUCGCAGAAAGGAAUAACAGUUGCUGUUCGGAACCACCACUCUAGUUUUACCCUUUCUUGGCUGCAAGAACUCAGCAUUCCUUUCAUCCACCCCAUCCAUUUGCGAGCCACGCAAGUCAUUCCAAUCUCCACCUUAACAAGGAAGAGAGAUCCAAGACAAAGAAAGAAGAACCAUGAACACUAAAAGAUUCUUGAAGGCCAAGAACUCCUCCCUUUCAUGAACCCCCACACCUCAAGUUCAUCUCUUUCACCACAACUCUAUCUUUACGAGAGAAUGAUCCUAUGCGUUCUUGAGAGAUGUUUAGAUUGGAGAUCAUUUGAGGAGUUUCUAUCAAGUGAACGGCAAUGGGUAGGGUAUAGGUGGGUACAACCACCUUCUGUCUAAACCCAUAACCACAGACUUUCUAUACCCAUCCACUUCAAUACCCAUGGACGUAAAUCGACACCCAUGCCCAUACCCUUCGGGUAUCCUAUACCCGAUGGGUAUCCAAUGGUUACAAUAUGUAGCAUUUACAUUUUGAAAAAGUAGAGAAAUGAGUCUAAAAUUCAAAUGAUAUGAUGGGCGAGCAGUCUAGCACCUAGUCGGCCUCCUCCCAUGGGUGGCCUAUUGGAGGCAGCAAGGGAGUACAAGUAGCAGUUGGUGGAAGCCCAAUGCAAUGGGAAGCGGCGGCAGGAACUGGGCUCGCUAGAUCGAGAGCUGGACAAGAGUCCGAUGGCUAUGAGUCGAGUUUCAUCAUUUCAAGGAGUCGCAUAGGACGAUGGAGGAGUGGCGAGCUGAUGGGCGUGGGCCUAUGAGUUAUUGCUGAGUUAGCGAAUAAGAGAUUUAGGGUUGGGCCAUAGGAGUUGGAUGUUGACUCCACAAGUCACAGGAGUUAUUUGCAUUUAAUAAUUUUUCUAGGUAUCCAUUGGGUUACCCAUGGGGGCAAUUUCAUACCCAUGCCCUAUCCAUAUUUUUGCGGGUAUGGAUACCCAUUACCCAUGGAUAUAAAAUCUUGUCAAGUCUCAUGCCCACUGUUUUCGGGUAGGGUACCCACGGGUACCCAUACCCAUGGGCAAAACGGCCAUCCCUAAGUGACUUUGCUUUGUUUGUUAGCUUUGGAGGGUGUGCGCCCCCUAGAUGGUUAGGAUUCACUUGAGAGCCUUCGCCUACUACGUGUGGCGAACUUAAGAUUUUGUGAAGCCAAGAAGAUCACCUACUUCGCGAAGAUCUACCCCUUACCGAGGCUUCUUUGUGCAAGCCAUGUUGGAAUAGGUUGAUUGCACUUGGUGGGUGACACAACUGAGAUCCUUGUGAUCUUACAAUCAUUUGGUUCAAGCCUCCAUAAACAUGGAGUAGGAUCGCGCCAACUACCAAAACCACAGGAAAAACAUCAUCAAGAUCCAAUUUUGCACAAUGGUGAAUCUGACUUUGCACAAUGGUGCGGGAACCUCCAAAUAAUUUGGAGUGCGCUCCAAAACUGAGUUGGAGGCCCAAGAUUUCGGUAAUCUGCUAGAGUUGCUUUAGGGUGUGUACAAUGCUGCUAUCUUAGCAACGUCGCCUAAGAUAACUGGUGGCGGGGAAGAGAGAAAUGAAAAAAAAAACACUUGACGUAUGUUAACUAAGAGAUGAUCUCUUAGCAAGAACGAUAAAACAUUUGCCUCCCUUAUACGAGAUGCCUUCUCUUAUUAACAUGUUUUUCAAGUUUUAAUUUUAUUCACUCCAUAAGGAUCUCGUAACAUUAAAUGCUAGAAAUAAGGUAUUGUAUAACAUAUUUAUUGCAUUCUCUCAAUGGCGUGGAUACGUAAAAAGAUAGUCUUAUCAACCACUAUAUACAUGCCUAACAUUUUUAUAUUCUCUCUGUUUCUUUUUACUCCACAUAUUAGGAUUGUCUUAAAUAAAACUUUGUAAAGUUUGACCCAAAUUAUAUUUUAAAAUAUCAAUAUCUGCAGUAGCAAAUGAAUACAAUAUGAAAAUAUAUUCCAUGAUGGAUCUAAAUGAUAUUGACUUAGUAUUGUGAAUGUUGGUAUCUCUUUCUAUAAACUUGGUACAAACCUAAUAUGCAGAGUAAAAAGAGAUGGAGGGAGUAUUUUUUUUAAACAGAGGGAGUAUGGCAUAAGAGGAAACAAAUUAAAAAAGAUAAUAGUAACAAAAAGUGCUUCAUUGAUGUAUGAGCAAUCAGCAACUCAAGACUCAAUGGUCAAUAAUGCAGUAGUGUAUCAUUACAUACCUCUUGCCAUCCAACUGUUUUUUAAUAUUGUCAGAUAACUGUCUUUUGUUCCAGUCUUUAAUGUUCUUGAGGGGAUCAUCAUUUUUAUCUUUUUCAGCUGAGGCCGAAAGCUGCUUGAGCAUGGACUCAAGAAGAGAACGGACGUCGUAUGUCUGGGACACCGGAACAAAAGCGCGGCACUGGAUGCCGCCCAACUUUGGAGUGUUGUAGACAGUCGUCGCGAGGGUGGUCUUGCCAAGGCCACCGAACCCCACUAUGGACAGCACUCGGUGACCUGCCGCCGCCUGGCGUUGCUCAUUGUUGAGCAGCUCGACCACGGCAUCAGUCAUGUUGCCCAUCCCGACUAGUCCGGACCCGUCACCACGGAUUGCAGGCAGCCAGCGCUCCAGGUUGUCGGGGUGGCUGUACGGAGAAUCAAGCCCUUUCCUCGACCGUCCAGCCUCGUGUAGAGUGUAUGUGUACCUUUGCUUCCGGUCGCUCACUUUCUGGGCACGAGAUUUGAGGCCCUGGAUAUCGGUCGCCACCUUGUGCCGCACGCUUAAUGUCCGCACCAUGUUGAACAUCCUGUUCAGAUAUUCCAGGAGUCCUUGACGGUCUCCAUGGUGCUUGCUGAGGUGAUGGCAGAACCUGUCCAUACAGUCCUCCACAUCGAACGCGACCUCCCUCACUUGUUUCAUCCAAGUCCUAGUCUGCACGUAUAUGAAUGAGCACAUCAGUUCAUCAUGCCAGGAUUUGUCUCAUCGCAUUAUAAGAGGCAUGUUUUCCUUGCUAUCAAAAAGUUGCAAUUAAAAAGUCCAUCUACUAGCAUUUGCAUUACUUGUUCAUUGUGAUCAUCACUAUCCGCGAGGUCGCGGAGGCACGCCGUCAUGCUCUCAAGCUCAUCUUUGAGCUCCUGGAUCUCCCCACGAACGCCGCCGAGAGGCACAUAUUUGGUGGCAAGGACGUGCCGAGCUUCCCCAACAGGAUCUGCACGGCGCCCUGGGAGGCGCUCACCACGGCCUCCAUCACCUUGCCCGUCCUGCCAUGUUAACUUCCGUUGGCAUCGCUUAGUACAAAAACACUAAACCACACCAGCCACAACCAUAACUUGAUUUCUUGUAAGUUUGUACGGCAUUACCCUUGGUUUGAGCGGUCUGGACCUGUUCCAUGUAUUCGGCGUUUACAUCUUUCAAAAGUCAACUCUGUUUACCAAGGACGAGCAGGUGAAUUGGUUAUGGCACACCCACUCGAAGGCCACCAGCUCCUGGAUGCCCACAGCCGACUAGCCCAUCGCUAAGAGAGGUGAAAAUUAGAGUUCUUACCAUCAGUGAACCAUGCUAUUGGACUCUGAGACAACCAAACUAGCUCAAAAGAUUUACCUGCUACGAUGCGAGAUAAAUAAGAACUGUAGUUGGCUCGGUCGAUCUGCGGGACAGGAGAGCGGCGCACCAAAGAUCGUGAUCCCCCGGCCAACAACGCACCCAAGAUUUCCGCAACAAAACGCAAGCUGGCUCGAUCUUAAGUCUGGAACAACAACAAUAGAUCAAGAACUCACUCAGACCAUAAAAGCACGAACUUCCAAUUCAAAAGCUUAACCCAAGGGAGAGACGAGAAAAGGCCAAACCUUGACAGAAAUCGACAACCACUUCUUGUUCAGCCGCGAUGAAGAAUGGAGUCGCCGGAGAUAGCACACCAAGAAAAGGGAACAAGACUAGCUGGUCCAGAUGGACAGAGGACAACCAAGUAAGGCUGAGCAGUGUGGUUAGGAGGACAAGGGGUGAGGCAAGUUGUGUCUAUUUUAUGGUUGAUGAGUUGGCUACAUUUUUAACAGAGAAAGCAACACCUACCGGUAGCACUGCACUAGUAGUAUAUAAUAUAAUGCUGCACUGAAGGAUUGGUCAUUUGUUCUCUUGUAAGGUAGCUGGCCUCAAAAUUGUUUCUUCACAGUAGGUGCUCACUUAUUUUUCAUGGAUGGUGCGUCCUUCCAUAUCUGUCGCGUUUUAUGGGUGGUUAGUGACUUAAAAUAACACUCUCUUGGGUUGAUCUGCAGAUGCUGAACCAAUCAGCAGAGAUAAACUAAUCACCCAGUUCAGCACUGAUGAUUGUUUCUUAUAGGAGUGAGAUGUUAAGCUGAAAAUGGAGAUACCGAUAGUUGAACAGUCUGUUGGUAAAUAAGAUUUACCUGCUGUGAUGCCAGGUGAAUAAGAACUGUAGUUGGCGCGGUCGAUCUGCAGGUAAAUAAGACUUCCACAAUCAAAUGCAAGCUGGCUGGAUCUCAAGUCUGGAACAACAAUAAUAGAUUAAGAACUCAGUCAGACCAAUGGCUGUGAUGCACAUACAGCAAUGCAGACUGCAUAUUGGCUUAAAAGUAAAUUCCAGAUAACCAAUCCUAGUAUGUUUGUUCCAGAGUGUCUCAGGGAUAUGUCUACAGUUUGCCACUCCUUAUGGCGGAAGCGUGUCGACAGAUCUUCAUACUGACUGAUAUCAGCCUAUCGAUUCAUCAUAGUCCUGUACCUGAAAACACAUCUCUUGCCUUGUUGCUGUCCCCUGCAGUCCACAACUGCUUUGUAUGUGCUCCUUCUGAAGAAACUUCCUGCCAAAUCAAGGUCAAAUUGCACAAGUGGUAGUGCUAAAGCGCCUCCACUAUUCUUCUACCUGUGUCUUGACAAUUUUGCUGAAAGCAGUGGGGAUCCCCCCAGAACAAAUUAUCUUAUUGCUUGUUUACGCAACAGCACCAGCGCUUAACUAGGUCUUUUAGGUUCACACCACAAGCUAGAUUCAUUCACCAAAAUUCUGCAUAUAACUGGACUGGAGGAGACCUUUUUGUUUAACUAGGCAACAAUCAAAUUUCAUUACCAAGACAAUGUAUAAAGUAAAAACAAAAUAGGCAUUCGAGUUUGAUGCACGCCAGGAAAACCCACUAGUUGUACUACCACUUGUAAUAAUACAACCUAUGGGACAAAAAACCUGGCGCAACAAUCGACCGUUCAACCUAAGUUCAGGAAAUACAGAGGACGCAGUUAUACAAAUUACAGUAUAUAAGCCAGAGGACACUUAGAAGGCAGCAGACGCCAAGCUGGCGCUGCCUCGUCAUCUUCUUCACGCCGAAGUGCAGGCCUAUCCACCUGCUGGUUGGUUGACUGCUGCUCACUGUACCCCACCCCUGCAUAAUUGACACAUAAUGGGUAAAAUGUUUGGGGUCAGAAGAAGGUUGUUGUUAUAAACAAAGUAUAGGGCCGGAAGAAGAAAGAACCAAAUGCAAACCUGAACUUGCUUGUGCAGCUUCCGUAGAAGGUUGAUCGUCCCUGGUGACUUUCGGACGAUUUGGAUGUAUUUUGGCCGCCUCAAACACCUCAUUAAAUGUAGAAUCUAUAAUGUGACCGAAGAACUCAACUUCUCUUAGGCACAGCAGGUUCUCAAUGCCGUUAAUGCCUCCACGAGGCACCCUACUGAAAGCCAAUGUGAGCCUCUCAAGAUUGGGUGAACCCCCAUGGAAGCUCAGCUCCUGGAGAUACUCCUGAUUAUCCACAACCAAUUGCUUCAGUCGGGGAAAACUGUCCUCUUCAAAACAUAAGGCACUCCCAGCAUAUCCCCUGAAGUAUAGCUUGAGAGAAACAAGACUGGGGAGCUUCCCUAGAACCUCAAAGGAAUCCUCCGCCAAGUGGUGAGUCUCUCGAAGCGACAGACUGGCCAAGUUGUUGAGCGAUGAUACCCAGUCAGGCAGCUUAGUUAGCCGUCCCCCCAAAUGCAGCCUCUGCAGAAACAGAGGGGGGGCCUUUAGGCGUACUAAAAAUUCCAGCUCCUCGCCUUUCUCUGAACCAUCCAGGACCAUUAGAUAACGAAGAGAGGUGCUAAGCACAUUCAAAGACUUGGCAAAGGGUUUCCAAAACUUUGCUUCAUUCUUGUUGAUUACACAAAGUCUGGUUAACUGCCGCAAUUUUUCCAGUUCAUGCAUUGCACAGGAGCUUUUCUGUGUAGAGAUGUCUACAUGAGAGAUUCUCUGGAGGGCAACCAUAUUCCCUAAUCCAAGUGGUACCUUCGCUCCACGUUUCCCCCCAAAACGCUUGACACUUCGUGUCCUUGUGUAAUAUGCAUAACGGCCUACAAGUAGAUGAUUCAGAUUCUGGAGCCGAGUGAUACCUUUGGGAAACUCGACGACAGGAGUUUCCCUUACAUCCAGUGUCACCAAUUCUUUAAGUUUCCCUACUGCAUUUGGUAGUUGGGAUAUGGUUGUCUUUCUAAGGCUGAGGUAUCUCAGCAGAGACAGUUUGCAAAUGUCCUUGAGAUCCUUAUCGCUUAACCAUCCACAUCCUUCAAGAUCUAAAACCCUUAAAAGUGUCAACUCAGCAAAUUUGAUGGGUACAGGUUUCUCAAUGCAGUCCAGAAUUGUCAGUGAACGGGUAUGGACUAUGUUCUUACUGGAAAAGGUUAUCUGCUCCUUGGCGACACCAGGAUGGAUGGAGAGCCUUCGUACCUUGUCAUGGCCUGCUGUUGUGUUGUAUUGACUGCUCCCUAGGAACGAGAUGAAAUUUUCCUUGACAGAUUUAGCGGUGAUAACUUCUAGCAUUAUGUCGUGGACUUUACAACUCUUAAUCUUGCCACUACAGCCAAUCUGUUCAGGGCUGACGAUGUUUCUACUGACAAACUCAUCCAAAUAAUUCUGAGCAAUCUCUUCCAAACUGUGACCAUACCUUCCAGAGAUUAAGCCUUCGGCUGCCCACCGUCUAAUCAGAGAGCCUCUUCUGACCUCAAAAUCCUCAGGGAAAGCACACAGGUAUAAGAAACAUGCUUUCAGAUGGUAUGGCAGAUCAUUGUAGCUCAGAGCAAGUAUCCGUCUCAUUCCCUCUAAAGUGGGGUUUAUCUCCAGUUCAGAACCCAGCCUAUCACAUACUGUUUGCCACUCUGCCGAUGUCUUGUUUUGCCUCCGAGCUAGCAUUCGUGCUAUGCUCACUAUAGCUAGAGGUAGACCGUUGCACCUUGCCAAAAUGGCAUUGGAGACUUUCAGCAGGUCGUUCGGACAUUUCCCUGACUCAAAGACCGUCUUGAAGAAUAGCUUCUCUGAAUCAUCCAUCUGUAACCGCUUCAUUUCAUAGACAGGAUCAUUGGGAGAGGUGCAGCAAUUUUUUGCCACCUCGUGACUGCGUGUAGUAAUUAAUAUGCUGCCCUCUUCACCAUUAUCAUGAGGAAAAGCUACCUUUAGCUGAUCCCAUGCAGCUGCUUGCCAGACGUCAUCCAGAACGAUCAGGUACCUAAAAAAAGACCCACAUUCUUAUGAGUAGACUAGUAACAAGAAUCGAGCAGGGACGGGGAUUCCAUGCUAGGACAUGCAUGUGGGAGUUGUGUACUGGCUUGUUACUUGAUAGUUGAUACUCCUACCUAGUUGCCUAUAAUCUCAUCUCGUAAUAAAUUUGAUAAUAAAUAAAUCUGUUCAUCCUAUUUUUGCUUUAUGUGUUCGCUUUACUGUUAAGUUCAUAGAUCUGUUGGUUCUGUGCCUAGCACACACACGUGGCACCCCUUCAAAAAUUCAAUUUUUUUUCUACUCCCUCCAUUCCAAUGAAUAAGGCUAGCACGCAUUUCAAAAUUAAACUUUGACCAUAAAUUGGACCAACCAAAUGUGAGUUAUAUGUGACAAAAGUUAUAUUGUUGAAUUUGUUCGAAACUGCAUGCAUUAUUGGCAUAAUUCUUGGUCAAAGUUCAAUUUUGAACUACGUGUGUGCCUUAUUCAUUGGAAUGGAGGGAGUAUAUAUAAUUAACACUAAUUAUCUAACAAGUUAAUGCUAUUUCAAAACUACUUGUUACACCGCUGCCUCCAGAUCUCGUCCUCAAAAUGUGGCAUGCUCGGUCAAGGCCUUGAGCUCAAGCAUGGUCAACGCCACUACCAGCCUUGGCUGAGAUGGGUAGGGCUGGUCGGCUGGACACGAGCAAAACCAAGCCAGUAUUUGGCUCGCUAUUGGCAAGCCAGCUCGGCUUGGCUCAGAAGCACCGGCGAGGCAACUAGAGGAGCUCGGAUCAGAGUCGGCAUAGGCUUGAGCCAACUCAGGCCAGCUCGCGAGCCUGGGGUGACAUGACGCCAUGUAGCCUUGGUGGGGCGACGUGGGAAGGAGAGAAUAGGAAGAUGGCUGAAGGAUCCNNNNNNNNNNNNNNNNNNNNNNNNNNNNNNNNNNNNNNNNNNNNNNNNNNNNNNNNNNNNNNNNNNNNNNNNNNNNNNNNNNNNNNNNNNNNNNNNNNNNNNNNNNNNNNNNNNNNNNNNNNNNNNNNNNNNNNNNNNNNNNNNNNNNNNNNNNNNNNNNNNNNNNNNNNNNNNNNNNNNNNNNNNNNNNNNNNNNNNNNNNNNNNNNNNNNNNNNNNNNNNNNNNNNNNNNNNNNNNNNNNNNNNNNNNNNNNNNNNNNNNNNNNNNNNNNNNNNNNNNNNNNNNNNNNNNNNNNNNNNNNNNNNNNNNNNNNNNNNNNNNNNNNNNNNNNNNNNNNNNNNNNNNNNNNNNNNNNNNNNNNNGUGCUUGUCUCCUCUCCCAAAUCAACAGAAGCUCUCGUUCUUUGCCGGUUCCCUGCGCCAGCUGCCAAUGGCCAUGUGCAACAGCCUUCAUCCAAUCUGCAUGCCACCGGCCACCGUUGGCUGCCUUUGUUGCCGGUCAGUCGAUGAGCUACGUGGUCAACUACUGGAGGAAGGAUCAAAGGAUUGAAGAAGCAAUGUAAAAUUCAGUUAAAACAAAUUGAUUGGUGAUGUUCUGAUGAUGGUUAUUCUUCUGGUUUGAAAUUAUCAAGUCAAGGCUCAAAAUAGAAUAGAAGAUAGAUUUAUUGCGGAUAGCUUGCCGCUACAAGUAGAACGAGAGAUUGUAGCAACAAUAAGUUAUGAUAACAUAACCAUUGAUUCCAAAGCUAUGAAAUCCUAAAGAGCAUACUUGUAGUUACUGGCCAUAUUAAUCGUCUUUUCUUAAGUCUAUUGUAUUCUACUGUUGUGGCUGUGGAGCUGCAUACUGUUGCCAAUGCGUGCGGGUUGGAGGCAGGCCGGCAACAGUCGUUGGACAGGCCCAAUGCGUGCGUACUGCGUAGUAGGCGGUCAUCCAAGGAAUAGAUACAUAUGGGCUAGUUCGGCGGGACCUCCCGUGUGUAAACCAUAGAAUACUGAGCAAUCGCGUACCGGAGUACAGCGUAGUGGGCCAGCCCAUUCGGUAGGUUUGUAUUAAUUUGAGAAGAGGAGGCUGGCCGGACCGGUUUAGAGUUAUGGAAUUUCAAAAAAUGUUAUGUAAUUUAAAAAUGGUUCAAGAAUUUUAAAAUUUGCCAAAUUUGAAAAAAAUCAUGAGUUUAGAAAAAUUUCCCCAAAUUUCAAUAAAAUACAAAUUUAAUAUAUAUAUAUAUAUAGAGAGAGAGAGAGAGAGAGAAAUGUUCCUGAAUUUAAAAAUGUUCACAAAUUAAAAAAAUGUACCCGGAUUUCAAAAAAUGUUCAAGAAUAUUUUUUAAAUUGAAAACCAGAAAAUGGAAUAGCCAAAGAAAUAAACAGAUAAAACGCAGAAAAAGGAAGAAAAACACGGUCCGGGGUUCUAAAGAACCUGCCCUACACCUGUGGGGAGGACAAAGAAAAAAGCCUCAAUGGGCCGGCCCAUAUAGCCAUGUGAGCAUGCAAGGGGGUGCGCCUCCUGCCGGCUUACGGAAGGAAUAGGACAGCCUUAGUUCGGUUGUCGUUCUUAUUCCCCUCCCCCUCUGUCUGUCGUCUUAGAUAGGUUAGAUCAGGCCACAAACUGCUGGGCAGGAUCAAGCCCAGGCUAGGCAUGAAGCACAAACAAGCGUACCAUGCCAACUCGGCUCGGCCUAUUUUCUUCUUGGGGCCGAGCUACAGAGAGCUCCAAGCCGAGCCUAAAAGCUCCCUCCGCCCCUUCGUUGAAAUGGAGGAACAAGAUGAUGAAGAGAGAGAGAGAGAGAGCGAGAUGGGAAAUAUGGUCGCUUUCUCAUUCACUUAACACUAGAGCUGGCAGAAAACAAAACGGAGGUGCAAAUAUGAAAUAUGUAAAUAAUGCUAAUGGAGCUUCAACUUUUGCGAACUGAAAUAAAGCAAGUAGAUUCUUGUAAUUGGCACCGCGGACAGGUGGAAAAUUGUAAUCUCCAUAUUUUAUAUAAACUUGGUCAGACUGAAAGAAGUUUCGCUUGAAGACAAAACUAUAACAUCUUUGGAUUUUUCAAACAGAGGGGGUAUGGCAUAAGAGGAAACUAAUUAAACGAGAGAAUAGUAAUAAAAGUGCUUAAUUAUGUACCUCUUACGCUUCAAACAUUGUUUGAUCUUGUCAACCAAGUCGCUUAUGGUCCAUUUUUUAAUGUUCCGGAGGGGAUCGUCAUCUUUAUCACUGUCGGCCAAAGUCGAAAGCUGCUUCAGCACGGACUCGAGAAGAGAACGGAAAUCAUAUGUCUGGGACACCGGAAUGAAAGCGCGGCACUGGAUGCCACCCAACUUUGGAGUGCUGUAGAUGGUCGUGGCGAGGGUGGUCUUGCCGAGGCCACCGAAACCCACUAUGGACAGCACUCGGGGACCUGCCGCCGCCUGGCGUUUCUCACUGAGCAGCCUCACCACGGCAUGAGUCAUGUUGCCCAUCCCGACUAGCCCAGACCCGUCACCAUGGAUUGCUGGCAGCCAGCGGUCCAGAUUGUCAUGGUGGCUGUACGAAGAAGAAUCAAGCGCUUUGCUUGACCGUCCUGCCGACUCGCCUAGAUCAUACCUGCGCCUCCUUUCGCUCACUUUCUGGGCACGAGAUUUGAGGCCCUGGAUAUCGGUGGCCACUGUGUGCCGCACCCUCAAUGUCCGCACCAUGUUGAACAUCCUAUGGAGGUAUUCCAGGAGUCCUUUACGGUCUCCAUGGUGCUCGCUGAGGUGAUGGCAGAACCUGUCCAUACAGUCCUCCACAUCGAACGCGACUUCCCUCACUUGUUUCAUCCAAGUCCUAGUCUGCACGUAUAUGAAUGAGCACAUCAGUUAAUCAUGCCAGGGUUUUGUCUCAUCUCAUUACAAGAGGCAUGAUUUCCUUGCUAUCAAAAGGUUCAGUUCAAAAGGAUCCAUCUACUAGCAUUUGCAUUACUUGUUCGUUGUGAUCAUCGCCAUCCGCGAGCUCGAGGAGGCAGGCGGUCAUGCUCUCGAGCUCGUCCUUGAGCUCCUGGAUCUCCCCGCGAACACCACUGAGAAGCGUGUAUUUGGUGGCGAGGACGUUGCCGAGCUUCCCCAAUAGUAUCUGCACGGCGCCAUGGGAGGCGCUCACCACGGCCUCCAUCACAGUCGCUCGAUCUGCCAUGUUAAUUUUCGUUGGCAUCUCUUAGUACGAAAACACUUAAGCACAUCAGCCACAACUUGAUUUCGUGUAAGUAUGCAAGACAUUACCUUUGGUUUGUGCCACACACGUUCAGACUUGAAACGUCUGGAUCUGGUCCAUCUUUGGUAGCGUCUACAUCGUUCUAAAGUCAACUCUGUUUAGCAAGGCACACCCACUCAACAGACCACCAGUUCCUGGAUGCCCACAAGCCGACUAGCCCAUCGCUAAGAGAGGCGAAAAUUAAAGCUUUUUAAUAACCAUCCGUGAACAAGCUAUUGAGACAUUAAAACUAGCUCAAAAGAUUUAUCUGCUGCGAUGUGAGGUAAAUAAGAACUGUAGUUGGCUCGACCAAUCUGCAGGACAGGACAGGAGAGCGACGCACCACGGAUCGAGAUCCCCCGGCCAACAAUGCACCCAAGAUUUCAGCAACCAAAUGCAAGCUAUCUCGAUCUCAACCCUGGACCAACAACAAUAGACCAAGAACUCACUCAGACCAGAAAAGGCAUAAUAUUCAAUUCAAAAGCUCAACCCAAGGGAGAGAAAAAAGAACAAACCUUCACAGAAAUCAACAACCACCUCUUGUUCAACCGCAUUGAAGAACGGAGUCGCCAGAGCCCAGAGAUACCACACCAAGAAAGGAGAUCAGAGAUUAGCUGGUCCAGAUGGGCAGGGGGCAACCAAGUAAGGCUGAGGAGCGUGGUUAGGAGGCAAGUUGUGUUUGUUGAUUGGUUGAAUUGGUUACAUUUAGUAAACAAUAUGACGCUACACUGAAGCAUUAGUCAUUUGUUUUCUUAUUAUUAGGUCUUGGUCUCUAAUUAAAUUGUUUCCUCAGAAUAGGUGCCCACUUAUGGUGCGUCCUUCACGUUAGAGUUAUAAUAUAGGUCAUGUACCCCUUUGUAUUUAUCCCGUUGUAUAAGGGGUUUUCUGCAUAUGUUCCACACCUGUACAUGUAUAUAUAUAUCGGCCUAUGGCCUCAUGGUAAUACAAGUUGCUUAUUCCUAACAUGGUAUUAGAGCCCUAGGGUUUCUUUUCGCACGCCGCAACUCGUGCUCGAUCCCGUCGUGACGGCCGCCGCUGCUCCAAUCCGCUGCCCCGGCCUGAAGCGCUGCUCCUUCUGGACGCUCAACACGCGGUUGGCGCUGCUCCGGUCUCACGCCUGCUCGUCGCUCAACACGCGCCGGGCGCUGCUCGUGGACUCCCACCUCCCCCGACCGAUGCGCACCACCCGCCCCAGAUCGACUCGCUGCCCACCCCGCCCCAACUGAUGCCGCCGCCACCGGGCCGCUCGCACUCCGCCCCAACUGACGCCGCCGCCACCGGGCCGCUCGCACUCCGCCCCAACCUGCCCCGCCGCAACCGGCGCCGUCGCCCCCGCAGUGCCCCUACCGGCGCCGUCGAGACAGCCGCCAGCGCCGGUCUCCCGCGUGCUCGUGGUCUUCUGCCUGUCGUCCGGUGCUCGUGGUCUUGCGCCUGUCGUCCGGUGCUCUGCUGAUUUCGGGUCUCUCCUAAAAAAAAUGUCUGCUGCAUCGGGCUAUGUUGUUGUCCCUCGCUGUCCGGUGAUCUUCGAUGGUACUAACUACACCGAGUUCGCUGGCUUCAUGCGCAUUCACAUGCGUGGCAUCCGUCUCUGGGGUGUUCUUUCUGGCGAGGUCUGCUGUCCGCCACGUCCGGUUCCUCCGGUGGCCCCUACUCCGCCGACUCCACUGGUUCUUCCUACGGAUGCUAAUCAGGCCGCCAAGGAUGCGGCUAAGAUUGCUGAUGAGGCUGCUGAUCGUGCCUAUGAUGAGAGGGUUUUGGCUUAUGAGGAGGCUCUUCAGACGUAUCAUGGUGCUUUGUCUGUUUACACCCAGUGGCUUGAUGAUGAUGCUCGUGUUGCAGCUGUUCUCACUGCUAGUGUUUUGCCUCAGUUUGCUUCUGAGUUUCUGGGUCUUCCUAUUGUCUUCCAGAUGUGGACCUGUCUUCGUCAGCGCUAUGAGCCCUCUGGUGAUGCCUUAUACCUUUCUGUGGUUCGUCAGGAGCAUGCUCUUCAGCAGGGUGACUCUACUGUUGAUGACUUUUAUGCACAGAGUUCUGCUAUCUGGCGCCAGCUUGAUUCUCUCCGUAGUGCUGGUUGCCGUACUUGCCCCUGCUGCUAGGCUGUCCAGGCCGAUUUGGAGUUUCAUCGCGUCUACGAGUUCCUGUCUCGGCUCCGUAAGGAGUUUGAGCCCCGGCGUGCUCAGUUGUUUGCUCGUGGCCGUAUUUCUCUCAUGGAGGCGCUUUCAGAGAUUCGUGCUGAGGAGACUCGCCUACGUGGUGCUGGUUUGCUGGAGGUUCCCUCUGUGCUUGCUACUCGGGCUUCUUCCACUCCACCCGCUGCACCGCCCCAUUCUCGCUCGAGUGCUCCGCCACUCUUGCCCACUCCUUCUGGAGGCUCAAGACGCCCUCGUCCACACUGUGACUACUGCAACAAUGAUGGUCAUAUUGAGUCCCAGUGCUACACAAAGCGGAAACACCUGCGCAAGGCGCGCUCAUCCUCCUCAGGGACUUCGUCAUCUCCCUCGCCAGCUUCAGCCAUUGCUUUGACUGAGCAGGAUAUUCUGAGACUUAAGCGUCUGCUCGCGGCUUCAGGUUCUUCCUCGACGGGUACUGUUGGUUCUGUGACUGAUGCUUCCCGCACUGAGCACCUGCCCUCUACACAGUCAGGUACAUCCCCAUGGGUUCUGGACUCUGGAGCUUCUUUUCAUAUGUCUUCUCAUUCUUCCGCUUUGUCCUCUCUUCGAUCGCUGGAUUCUCCUGUUCAUGUCUUCACUGCUGAUGGUGCUCCACUUUCUGUUGCUAGUAGAGGCCAUCUUUCCACUCCUUAUUCUGUUCCUGAUGUUGCUCAUGUUCCUCGACUUACCAUGAAUCUGUUUUCUGCUGGUCAACUUACUGAUUCUGGUUGUCGUGUCAUCCUUGAUGUUGACUCUUGUUCUGUCCAGGAUCGUCGCACGCACACUCUGGUUGGGGCUGGCCCUCGCCGCCGUGAUUCUCAGGGUCUUUGGGAGUUGGACUGGCUUCAUGUUCCUUCCGCUGCCACCACCAUCGCCAGUCCCUCCGCUGCUGUCGCCUCUGUUACUGGUUCCUUCCAGCAGUGGCAUCAUCGACUUGGUCAUCUGUGUGGUUCUCGGUUAUCGUCUUUAGUUCGUCGAGGUCUUCUGGGGUCUGUCUCAGGAGAUGUCUCUUUAAAGUGUCAGGGUUGUCGUCUUGGCAAGCAGAUCCAGUUACCAUAUUCACAUAGUGAAUCAGUGUCUAAGCGUCCUUUCGAUUUAGUCCAUUCUGAUGUAUGGGGUCCGGCUCCUUUCGCUUCGAAAGGUGGUCAUAAAUACUAUAUUAUUUUCAUCGAUAAUUUUUCUCGUUACACAUGGCUUUAUUUCAUGACUUCACGUAGUGAGGUGUUGCCUAUUUAUAAGCGUUUUUCUGCCAUGGUUCAUACUCAGUUCUCUUCACCCAUUCGUGUUUUCCGUGCUGACUCCGCUGGUGAGUAUCUCUCUAAGAUGUUGCGUGGUGUUCUUGCUGAGCAGGGUACUCUUGCCCAGUUCUCUUGUCCUGGUGCUCAUGCUCAGAAUGGCGUGUCUGAGCGCAAGCAUCGUCACCUUCUUGAGACGGCUCGUGCUAUGAUGAUCGCCGCCUCUCUUCCGCCUCAUUUUUGGGCCGAGGCUAUCUCCACUUCCGCCUCUCUCAUCAACCUUCAGCCGUCCGCUGCUUUACAGGGUGGUGUUCCUUUUGAGCGUCUUUUUGAUCGGUCUCCCGAUUAUUCGAUGCUUCGCUUGUUUGGUUGUGUUUGCUAUGUUCUUUUUGCCCCUCGCGAACGCACCAAACUGACCGCUCAGUCUGUUGAGUGUGCCUUCUUAGGCUACAGUGAUGAGCAUAAGGGCUAUCGUUGUUGGGAUCCUAUCGGUCGUCGGAUGCGUAUCUCUCGAGACGUGACUUUUGAUGAGUCUCGUCCUUUCUACCCACGCCCAUCUUCCUCGUCUUUUUCCGUGGAGGAUAUCUCUUUCCUCACUUUUCCUGACUCACCUAUCACCCCCGUCGCGCCUGUGCCUAUUCGUUCCACUCCCUCUGCUUCUCCACCCCUCGUCGAUUCGUCGCCACCAUCUUCCCCGGUCUCCUCCCCUAGCAUGUCACUGGGUUCUACACCUUCAUCUCCGGUGACUUCUUCGUCGCCACCCCCCGAUUCUACCUUGGCGAUUCCUCCUUCUCUUAUUCCAUCUUUGCCUCAGCAUUACACUCGUCGUUCACGACCUGUGGAUGCUUCCUUGGAUGAGUCAUCCUCUUCCUCUCAGCCUACUUAUGGCUUGCGUUCUCGUCCUCGUCCGCCUAUUGAUCGCUUUGGAUUUCCCACCGCUGGUGCUGCUGUUCUUGAGCCGACUUCUUACCGUCAGGCUGUUGUUCAUCCUAAAUGGCAGUUUGCGAUGGCAGAGGAGAUUGCUGCUCUUGAACGCACUGGUACCUGGGAUCUUGUUUCUCUUCCUCCCGGAGUCCGUCCCAUCACUUGUAAGUGGGUCUACAAGGUUAAGACUCGCUCUGAUGGUUCUCUUGAGCGUCACAAAGCUCGUCUCGUGGCUCGUGGUUUUCAGCAGGAGCAUGGUCGUGAUUAUGACGAGACUUUUGCUCCUGUGGCCCAUAUGACCACUAUCCGUACACUUCUUGCUGUUGCCUCUGCACGCCACUGGUCUAUAUCUCAGCUUGAUGUUAAGAAUGCCUUUCUUAAUGGUGAGCUGCGUGAGGAGGUGUACAUGCAGCCACCACCUGGGUAUUCUGUUCCUGAUGGCAUGGUGUGUCGUCUUCGUCGCUCUCUCUAUGGCCUUAAGCAAGCCCCUCACGCCUGUUUUGAGCGUUUUGCCUCUGUGGUCCCUACUGCUGGUUUUUCAGCAAGUGCUCAUGAUCCAGCAUUAUUUAUUCACCUUUCUCCUCGUGGCCGGACUCUUCUUCUUCUCUAUGUUGAUGAUAUGGUCAUCACUGGGGAUGACCCUGAGUAUAUUGCCUUUGUAAAGGCCCGUCUUAGUGAGCAGUUUCUUAUGUCUGAUCUUGGACCUCUUCGCUACUUUCUUGGGAUUGAAGUCUCUUCUAUCUCUGAUGGCUUUUUUAUAUCCCAGGAAAAGUAUAUCCAGGAUCUUCUUGCUCGUGCUGCUCUUACCGACGAGCGCAUUGUUGAGACUCCUAUGGAGCUCAGUGUUCACCUCCGUGCUACUGAUGGUGAUCCUCUCCCUGACCCGACGCGUUAUCGUCAUCUUGUUGGCAGUCUUGUUUAUCUCGCUGUCACUCGUCCGGACAUCUCUUAUCCGGUUCAUAUUCUGAGUCAGUUUGUCUCUGCUCCCACAUCGGUUCACUAUAGUCAUCUCCUUCGUGUUCUCCGAUAUCUUCGGGGCACGAUCUCUCACCGUCUAUUCUUUCCUAGCUCCAGUUCUUUACAGCUUCAGGCCUAUGCGGAUGCUACGUGGGCUAGUGAUCCUUCUGAUCGCCGUUCACUUUCUGCUUACUGUGUUUUUCUUGGCGGUUCUCUCAUUGCCUGGAAGACGAAGAAACAGAUUGCAGUUUCCUGUUCGAGUGCGGAGGCUGAGUUGCGAGCCAUGGCUCUUUUGACGGCAGAGGUGAUUUGGUUACGGUGGUUACUUCAGGAUUUUGGUGUUUCUGUCACUACACCGACUCUGCUCUUAUCUGACAGUACAGGUGCUAUUAGCAUUGCGCGCGAUCCUGUGAAGCAUGAGCUCACCAAGCAUAUUGGUGUUGAUGCUUUCUAUGUGCGCGCUGCUGUGCAGGAUCAGGUUAUUGCUCUUCAGUAUGUGCCUUCCGAGUUACAGUUGGCGGAUUUCCUGACAAAGGCCCAGACUAGAGCACAACAUGGCUUUUAUCUCUCCAAACUCAGUGUUGUUCCUCCACCAUGAGUUUGAGGGGGGGUGUUAGAGUUAUAAUAUAGGUCAUGUACCCCUUUGUAUUUAUCCCAUUGUAUAAGGGGUUUUCUGCAUAUGUUCCACACCUGUACAUGUAUAUAUAUAUAUCGGCCUAUGGCCUCAUGGUAAUACAAGUUGCUUAUUCCUAACACUUCAUACUUAUCUGUCCUCUUAUGGGUGGUUGGUUACCUAAAAUAACACUCUCUUGGGUUGACCUGCAGGUGUUGAACCAAUCAGCAGAAGAUCAACUAAUCACCCAGUUCAGCAUUGAUGAUUGUUUCCUACAGGAGUGGGAUUGGAUGUUAAGGGAAUAAUUGAGACAGCGAUAGUUGAACAACAUCAGGCAGACGCGUACGCGUGGUCGUGUAAGGAUAAUUACAGUGAUAAUUACAGCAGCAGCAGAUUAGUACGUCUUCAUCCUCGUGUUGUUUCAUGUCGAAGUAGCUAGCAUCUGAACAAUCUGGGAGGCAGCUCUUGUUCAGUUGAACCCACGUUUUCUGCCUCUCAGACUGUUUUGAACCCUGCAUAUCAAUGCCAGGCUGCUUUGAACCCUAUCUCAGGCUAGCUACUCCACAUGAAACAACAAAAGGAACAACAAAAGCAUCCUUGGCAUUGUGGAGGGGAUUAUGUUUCUCCUUUUUGCUUCGAGAGAUGUUAAUGUAUACAUAAAGAGAAGAAUUUGCUGGAGAACUGGAGACUAGUGGCGCUCAUAGUUGGUAGCCAGGAGCAUGAUAUCAGAAACUCAAAUGUGUGGUAACAAUCUGUUGACCAUGUGUUUUAUAACUGCAUAACAAUCCAGUGUACAAAUCUGUACUUUGUUAACUGGCCAACACAUUACACCAAACUUGAAUUUGUUUGCCACAACACAGGUAGAUCACAGAGCAAAGGUUGGGCUCCAGCGCACCACAGUACUUCUAACAAGGAACCAAAUGCAUGCCAGCCAAAGUGUAACUUGAGUUUCCAAAACUAACAAAAGGCAACUCAAUUGCAGUCACGAGUCAUUUCAGUGCAUGCUUCUUAUCUGAUUUUUAGAACAUUUUAUUCCACAUUUCGUGUUAGACAGAAAAUUCAUCAACAAAAUAGGAGUGAAGGCAACUAAGAGAAUCCAGCAUUAUGAAAACCUUCGAGCCUGAAAAGUUCAAUUGACACUGACAGUCCCGCAAUGCUCGCAGCACUCAGCCAUGGUAAUCAUAUGGUUCAUACAUUCAGCAGUACCU
rnacentral:lncRNA from 1 species